GAUGAACGCUGGCGGCGUGCCUAAUACAUGCAAGUCGAGCGAACAGAUGAGGAGCUUGCUCCUCUGACGUUAGCGGCGGACGGGUGAGUAACACGUGGAUAACCUACCUAUAAGACUGGGAUAACUUCGGGAAACCGGAGCUAAUACCGGAUAAUAUAUUGAACCGCAUGGUUCAAUAGUGAAAGACGGUUUUGCUGUCACUUAUAGAUGGAUCCGCGCCGCAUUAGCUAGUUGGUAAGGUAACGGCUUACCAAGGCGACGAUGCGUAGCCGACCUGAGAGGGGGAUCGGCCACCCGGGAACGGAGACACGGUCCAGACCCCGACGGGGGGCAGAAGUAGGGAAUUUUCCGAAAGGGGCGAAAGCCUGACGGAGCAACGCCGGGGGGGGGAUGAAGGGUUUCGGAUCGUAAAACCUUGUUAUGAGGGAAGAAAAAAUGUGUAAGUAACGAUGCACGUCUUGACGGUACCUAAGCAGAAAGCCACGGCUAACUACGU
rnacentral:rRNA from 1 species